UGAUCCACGAUUUAUAUUACCAAUGUUUUAAAUUUAUAUAUCGUCGUAUUUAAAUAUUUUAAAAGAAUUUUAAAUAUUUGAAAUUUUUUAAAUAAAAAGUAUUUCAGAUCAAGAUGUAGUUUAUAUAUUGGGAGAGAUGGGUUACAUUAAUUUUAAUUGUGGAUUUAUAAUUGAAAAUUAUUAUGAAAAUGGAUUUGAAAGUAAUAGUAAAAAUUUUUUUAUUAUGAGUAAGCUCUAAAAUAUGUACAUAUCGCCCGUCGCUUUCACUCUAAAGUGAAAUAAGUCGUAACAAAGUAAUUUUACUGGAAAGUGAGGUUA
rnacentral:rRNA from 1 species